UGUUUUUCUUGGGUUUUAUUUCACUUUGAAUGAUUGAAGAAGUGUAUAAGUGGUAGUAGGUGUUGAUUCCCGUGAAUGAGGUGCUAACAUUUUAUUUUCUUUGCUUUUCUUUUAAUGAAUUGAAAAUAGAUUAAGUAGGAUGGAGGUGUGGGAUGCUGGCAACCAAAUAGGUGUAGGAAUUUAGCCCUAUUAUUUAUUUGGAAAUGAAGAAGUGAUAAGGUGGAAGUAGGUGUGUGUUGUAUGGAGAUGGCAUUUGGAGAAAAAAAUUAAUGCAUUGCUUGGAAAACAUGAUAGCAUGGUCUGGAGCUCACUGCCACGGUUUCUUAUUUUUUUUUUUUUUUAUUUCACAAGCACAAUUCCAAUUCCUUUGAUGAAGCAUGAUUCAUGAUAAAACAAGGAGGUCAUGACUGAAUGACAGGAUUAAUUUGGAAAAGCACAUUCUCAUUUUCUUUUCUUCUAACAUAUCACGGCAAAGGGGACUUCUUCAAGCAUUUUGCAAUUUUAAUUUUCUUUUGGGAGGUGCAUGUUUCACAUGAGACGGUAGAAAAAGUUUGUGUUUUCUUAUUUCUUUUGCUUUAAAAUAUUUUACAUUAUAUGUUGAGUAGUUUUUCAUCUUUUUAAUUUAGUGAUGCAUAUUAAUAAUUUUAACUAUGCUAGAUAUUUGUGUUACAGUGUUAGGCGUUUAAUGUUUUC
rnacentral:lncRNA from 1 species